ACGAACGCUGGCGGCGUGCCUCAUCCCUGCAAGUCGAGCGGACAGACGGGAGCUUGCUCCCUGAUGUUAGCGGCGGACGGGUGAGUAACACGUGGGUAACCUGCCUGUAAGACUGGGAUAACUCCGGGAAACCGGGGCUAAUACCGGAUGGUUGUCUGAACCGCAUGGUUCAGACAUAAAAGGUGGCUUCGGCUACCACUUACAGAUGGACCCGCGGCGCAUUAGCUAGUUGGUGAGGUAACGGCUCACCAAGGCAACGAUGCGUAGCCGACCUGAGAGGGUGAUCGGCCACACUGGGACUGAGACACGGCCCAGACUCCUACGGGAGGCAGCAGUAGGGAAUCUUCCGCAAUGGACGAAAGUCUGACGGAGCAACGCCGCGUGAGUGAUGAAGGGUUUCGGAUCGUAAAGCUCUGUUGUUAGGGAAGAACAAGUGCCGUUCAAAUAGGGCGGCACCUUGACGGUACCUAACCAGAAAGCCACGGCUAACUACGUG
rnacentral:rRNA from 1 species